UACGUAGGGUGCGAGCGUUGUCCGGAAUUAUUGGGCGUAAAGAGCUCGUAGGUGGCGGGUCACGUCGGGUGUGAAAGCCCGGGGCUUAACUCCGGGUCUGCAUUCGAUACGGGUCUGCUGGGGUCCGGCAGGGGAGACUGGAAUUCCUGGUGUAGCGGUGAAAUGCGCAGAUAUCAGGAGGAACACCGGUGGCGAAGGCGGGUCUCUGGGCCGGUACCGACGCUGGGGAGCGAAAGCGUGGGGAGCGAACAGG
rnacentral:rRNA from 1 species